ACUCUUUCGCGAUCGCUUUAAGGCUCUCUUUUCCGAUCGAGGGUACUUUGCAUCCUCGCUCUCCUCUACAUCUGUAGAACAGAAGCGGCGGUCGCCGCCUUUCUCUCUCUUAUCGGUAAGCCUUGAUCCCUCUCUCUCGCCAAAUGCCCUAACUUCACUUCGAGGUCGAGAUUUUAUCACUUGGUUCUCUCUUUUUCUCGUUUGUUGAUUACUAGGGUUUCGAACCUCUGUUUUCUACACCCCUUUUGAAUUUCGAGCAAGUUUGGAGCUUGUUAGAUUAAUUUUCAGGAAAUUUAAUUUAAUUUUUUAAAAAAACUUUCUUAUCGCUUAGCUCGUGUUACUUUUGGAUCUCAAUUACACUUGCCUUAGGGUUUCGAAUUUAAUUUUCGCGAGUUCGGGAAAGUUUGAAAUUUUUUUUGGCGGGGUUAGGGUUUCAUAGGCCAGAAUAAAGGGAAAUUCGUAUUGGAAUUAGGGUUUUGUGCUGUGAAGCUUUGGUUUCAGAUAUAUGGCCGCUGGGAGAUAUAGGGGUUGCCACGAUAAUGAAUCCAGGGAUCACGAGUCCGAUUCUGAAUUGUCAAGGGAAGAUUUUCCUUAUUCCAAGGAUAAAUUUGAUAGAAUUGAGAAUGGCAAUGGUGAAAACGACAGGGGUCGAGUUCGGGAAUUAAGGGAUAGAGCCAGGGUUAGGCAGAAGGAUAUUAGGGAGAGAGAAGUGACUAAUGGUGGGUAUAGUUCGUCUUCUGGUAGAAGUGAUUCAGGAAGCAGUGGUAGUGGUGGUGCCCAUGGUCCACGGAAGUGUGGGCUUUCAGCUAGGGCCACGGAUAGGGAGCCAGGUGAGUUGUCUAGUGAGAGUGGGUCCGAUGACGCAAUUGACUCCGAGUCACAUGCUCACAAAGAUAGUGAAGUUUUAAAAGUAGUGGAGAAUGGGACUCGGACACCUGUGGAGAAGAAGAGGAAGUUUUCUCCUAUAGUCUGGGAUAGAGAUGACAAACCAGUGAGUAACUCAUCAAAAAGUGGGAGCCCCCCUGCAGUGACUGCUCUCCCUCCACCGCCGCCCCUGCCUAAGGCGUACCGCCAGUCACCUAGUUUUAUUCCAGAAGGAGGUGUAGGGAUAUCUCCUGUUAAAAGUAGUAAAAACCAGAAUUUGCUGUCUUCUUCACCGCUGAAGGGAUCAGUUGGCAAUUCUGCAUCCGAGUCUCCUGUAGAGUUGGCUUCAUCGCCAAUGGAGGAGCAGUGGGGCAAUGACCAGGAAGCAGAGCACAUAGAAGACGAGGAUUAUGUUCCAAUGAGGAAUAUCUCAUCUUCACGAUGGGCAGCUGGCAACAAUUCUCCUGUUGAUGAAGGUGAAAUUGUGGAAGAUCAGGAAAUUCCUAAAAGGAGGAAGAAGAUGCCCCAUUCAGAGUUUUUGGAUUCCAGAGCACGCAACAAGUUAUCAACUCCAGAUCCCGGGGAUUUUAAGAGAGAAGGUUCUGAUGUGGCUAGAGGGAGGUCGUCAGAAUCUGAUGAGCGAGGCACCUGUGCUAGGCCUUUGAGCGGGGAUGAUUAUCAUGGGAAUGAUUCUGGGAGGGAUGACUACAUGGAUAUUGAUGAGGAACACAAUAACAGUGAUUCUGAUAUAGAUCCUAAGGAUGAAGAUGAUUCUUGCGAAACACCAGAACCUGCAGGUCCACCUCAAAGAAGUGUAAACAUGCUUCAGGGGUGUAGAAGUGUUGAUGAGUUUGAGAGACUAAAUAAAAUAGAUGAGGGCACUUAUGGUGUUGUAUAUAGAGCCAGAGACAAGAAGACUGGGGAAAUUGUAGCAUUGAAGAAGGUAAAGAUGGAGAAAGAACGUGAAGGUUUUCCACUGACUUCUCUUAGGGAAAUAAACAUUCUUCUUUCUUUUCAUCAUCCUUCAGUUGUUGAUGUUAAAGAAGUUGUGGUAGGGAGUAGCCUUGAUAGCAUUUUUAUGGUGAUGGAGUACAUGGAGCAUGACCUCAAAGGACUCAUGGAGUCAAUGAGACAGCCAUUUAGUCAGAGUGAAGUUAAAUGCUUAAUGCUCCAGUUGUUGGAGGGUGUGAAGUAUCUUCAUGAUAAUUGGGUUCUUCAUCGAGAUCUGAAAACGUCAAAUCUGCUCUUGAAUAAUCGUGGCGAGUUGAAGAUCUGUGACUUUGGGCUGGCUCGUCAAUAUGGAAGCCCGUUGAAAACAUACACCCAUUUGGUGGUUACUCUGUGGUACAGGGCACCAGAAUUACUUUUGGGAGGCAAGCAAUAUUCAACGACAAUUGACAUGUGGUCCCUGGGCUGCAUUAUGGCUGAACUGUUAUCGAAGGGACCUCUGUUUAAUGGAAAGACAGAAGUAGAUCAACUUGACAAGAUUUUCCGAAUCCUUGGUACACCAAAUGAGACAAUCUGGCCUGGGUUUUCCAAGCUACCUGGAGUGAAGGUCAACUUUGUCAAGCAUCAGUAUAACCUGCUGCGUAAGAAAUUUCCAGCAACGUCCUUCACUGGAUCACCGGUGCUUUCUGAUUCUGGGUUUGAUUUGUUGAACAAACUUCUUACCUAUGACCCUGAGAAGAGAAUUACUGCUGAAGCUGCUCUUAAACAUGACUGGUUUCGUGAAGUUCCUCUUCCAAAGUCUAAAGAUUUCAUGCCUACUUUUCCUGCUCAGCAUGCUCAAGACAGGCGUCUCCGAAGAAUAAGGAAGAGUCCAGAUCCUUUAGAAGAGCAGCGGAGAAAGGAGUUGCAACAAGGGGAGUUAGGGACCGGUGGUUUGUUUGGCUGAGAGAUUAAUUGGUCAACCUUGGCCCUGGAUUGCAAUUUUUUUGUUUUGCAAGCUACUGACACAAGAUGUGGUUGAGGUGAGAGAUAUCCAUUGAAAGGAAGUAGCGAACCUUGUUUCUCAGACGAUCAUUUGUACUUUUUUUUAGCAGGCCUCUUGUGAUUUGGAUGGAGAAAAUAUUUGCCUCCUGCCGUCAACCAGUUAUGUUUCAGGCUAACUUUGUUCUCCUGCUUUGUUAACAUAUAGGAUGCGCCUGGGACACUGCUUGCAUCGCAAGUUGGUGUGAAGUCCAGGAGAUGUUCUUAGCUUUUCAUUGACAAAGAAAUAGGCAAUAACAUAGAGCAUCAAAGUAUCAAAGCUAGCAGGUUGGGGAGGUUACCUGCUGUGGAUUUUAUAGAACUUUCAGUUAGAUGUCUUCAGGCUCCAUAGAGGUACAACACAAACUUUGUUUUGUUCUUAUGUGUCAGAUUUUCUUUUUUAAUCAUCUUAAUAUUCGCUACCUUUAGAUGUUGAUGUACCUCUAGGCAUUCUUAUGCAUGUGGUUCUGCACUAGUUCUGUUCCUAUGAUGGUAAUCUUCAGGAUUUGGUGCUUCUAAUCCUUGGGAGCAUGCUUUUCAAUUGGGUUGGAUUUUGUUCUUUGUUUGGGAGAAAAAGAAAGGGGUGGGGGGGUGGGUUCUUUUCUUUGUUUCAUAUAGUUCUAACUAUAUGGCUCUUAAGCAAGGUCCAGGGAUAGUGCAAUACUUUCGUUGGGUUCAAGUUUCAGUAGUAGUAGGAGACCAAAAUCCCUUAAAAUCUGCAACCCUGAGUGUUUGUUGUUUAUUCCACACUUCUAUAGUCUUGCCUGAAUGUUUGUGCUAUGCAUUUUCUACUGUCUUCAAGAUUUGCCAUUUGAUAUUUCAGGAUUAAGUAGAUGUUUUCCUUUUAGAGAUUAAUAGUUUAAUGAGGUAUGAAGCAUCAAAACAGAUGAUGCAAUGCCCUUUAAUAAAAAGAAGGGUGGUAACAAGAUUUGCAAGCUUGUUCAGAAGGUGGUAAAAAGUUUCUUUGCACUGAAAAUCUUAACUAAAACUUGGUGCUUCAUAAUUAAGAAGUCUGAGCUUGAUUGGGACUGCGCUGUUUUUUCUUCCAAGUAAUAAAGAAUGUUCAAGCUUCUCUUAGGUGGAUUGUUAAUAUUACAUUUAUGCAGAAUAAGGAUUUUAUGGGACAUCGUGAAAAAUUACGGAGAUCUAUUUGCUUAAGAAUAGUGAUUGGAACCUCCAGUCAAUUGUCAUUUUGGCUCGCUAGUUGAAUAGUUGAUGUGGUGCUUUUCAUCUGUUAGUUUGUUCCCCCGGUCCUUAAAUUUCAUCCCUCUUCACAUUAUAUUCUUCUCAGUUCAGUCUAGGUCAAGUUUAUGAAACUGAUCAGUAGUCUAGCUAUUAUUCCUCAAGAAGUUUGUGAUGAAAUACCGAAAGCGUAUACUGGGUCCUGUUAUCCGGAGUAUGUACUUGUUUUUUCCCUUCUGUAGCCAAGAUUUUUCUGACAUUUUUGAAGCAAAUUGCUCAUUAUAAUGCAUCUUCCAGUUCAUUGAUUUUGCAUUA